UGGGGAAUUUUGGACAAUGGGGGAAACCCUGAUCCAGCCAUCCCGCGUGUGCGAUGAAGGCCUUCGGGUUGUAAAGCACUUUUGGCAGGAAAGAAACGUCAUGGGUUAAUACCCCGUGAAACUGACGGUACCUGCAGAAUAAGCACCGGCUAACUACGUGCCAGCAGCCGCGGUAAUACGUAGGGUGCAAGCGUUAAUCGGAAUUACUGGGCGUAAAGCGUGCGCAGGCGGUUCGGAAAGAAAGAUGUGAAAUCCCAGAGCUUAACUUUGGAACUGCAUUUUUAACUACCGAGCUAGAGUGUGUCAGAGGGAGGUGGAAUUCCGCGUGUAGCAGUGAAAUGCGUAGAUAUGCGGAGGAACACCGAUGGCGAAGGCAGCCUCCUGGGAUAACACUGACGCUCAUGCACGAAAGCGUGGGGAGCAAACAGG
rnacentral:rRNA from 2 species